rnacentral:lncRNA from 1 species
AUAUCAAUCGAUUUGUUCCUGUUGCUGUUCAACGAGGACUUGUGAGUUUCAUCUUAGAUUUGUCCACUACUUACACUCAUUUUAAAAUCACAUUAGGUCCUACACUUGAAAGUGUUUUCAGUUGUAGAAACCUUGUGGUUAUUAAUAAGCUUCUCGAAGGGUGUCCCGUUGUAGAGGAUUUGCAAAUCACUGAUUUACUACUCGGAAAGUAACGGAGAGUUUAAAAUCUUAUCCAAUUUCGUCAAAGAUAAUGUUUUGAAUUUGCAGAGAGGAAGGGGAUUGUUGGACAGAGACCGAGUAACAAUGCUAUUUUGUUAAAGUUACAAUAAGUUGAAAUUGAUUUCUAAUGUUUGUCUAGAUGUCCAACCAACAAUGUCAAGCUUUUCUUAACAUAACUCACCUCGAGCUUCGGCUUAUCUUUGUACCCACUUGAACUGCUUGAUCAAAGUGCUCCAAUAUUGUCAGAAUCUUACCCUUCAUGAGGUUUUUACUUAUGUCAUUGAUCAAUUUUAUAAAUUCUGCUUUCAAUUAAUUUAUAUAUUAUUUUCCUAAUUUAUUUAUGUUAUUUUGUUAGUUUGAUGGACAUGGAAUUGGUGACAAAAUGUGCAUGAAACCACGGAAUCUAUUUGCUCCGGAUUGCCUUUCCUAUAAACUAAAAACAUG